rnacentral:lncRNA from 1 species
CUGAAAGGAAAAUGUGAAGCAACGUGAAGUAAUUCUAUCAUAUUAUGUUUAGCAAGUGACCACUCAUUAGAGAUUUAGGAAAUUAGAUCACUGAACCUAAGUUUUGAGUAAUGUAUUUAAAAAAAUAUAUAUUUCUCAGAGUUGAUUUAAUUUUGAGGCCAUUUCUCACGGAAUGGACACUGUUUUAAUAGAGCAUGACAUCUAAAACAUUAGACUCAACAUCAUAUUGACCCAGAUAGUCGUUGUGCGGGCAAUCCCUUUUCAGCAAAAGAAUUGCUAUCCCUGGAGUGAGAAAAAGCUUGAAGCUCUGUCUCAGGAUCCUGAGAACCAUACUGUUGUCCUGAGGACAUUACUCCUUUCUGUCCUCACCAGGAAAUUCCACAAGUCGUGUAUGUAUAGAGAUGCUGGGCAGACCUUAUCAAAUGUACAACUUAUAUCCACGUUUUGAUAUUGGAAUCCUGUAGAAGAGUAUGCACAUUUUGGUGUUUGUCUUUCUCGGCUGUGAAGGAUUACAUGAGAAAACUUAUGCAUUUCUCCUUGUUCAUAAAGACAUAUUUUAAAACAAGAUCCUUUUUGCAUUACCCUUUUAGUCCCAGAGCUUUUAUUUCUAUCUAUACAUGAUAUAAAUGUAUAAUAUGCACUUUUUUUUUACUAGUCUGUAAGCAAGCAUGCAAUAAAAAUCUACACGCCCAAUGGAAGAAAUGUAUUUUUUAUAGGCUGUUUGUUUAGUGUACUGCAUUGUUUUGAAAACAAUCGUGUGUGUGUGUGUGUGUGUGUGUAUAAUCUCCAAUAAAUUGUGGAUUACUUUCGAAUGGAUGUGCUGGUAAGAGCCCACCAUUCAUCUGUGAGUGCCACAUCACAACAGAGUCUCCCAUUGAGCUUUUC